AUUGAACGCUGGCGGCAGGCCUAACACAUGCAAGUCGAACGGCAGCACAGAGAGCUUGCUCUCGGGUGACGAGUGGCGGACGGGUGAGUAAUGUCUGGGAAACUGCCCGAUGGAGGGGGAUAACUACUGGAAACGGUAGCUAAUACCGCAUAACGUCGCAAGACCAAAGUGGGGGACCUUCGGGCCUCACACCAUCGGAUGUGCCCAGAUGGGACUAGCUAGUAGGUGGGGUAAUGGCUAACCUAGGCGACGAUCCCUAGCUGGUCUGAGAGGAUGACCAGCCACACUGGAACUGAGACACGGUCCAGACUCCUACGGGAGGCAGCAGUGGGGAAUAUUGCACAAUGGGCGCAAGCCUGAUGCAGCCAUGCCGCGUGUAUGAAGAAGGCCUUCGGGUUGUAAAGUACUUUCAGCGGGGAGGAAGGCGGUGGAGUUAAUAACUUCACCGAUUGACGUUACCCGCAGAAGAAGCACCGGCUAACUCCGUGCCAGCAGCCGCAGUAA
rnacentral:rRNA from 1 species